rnacentral:rRNA from 1 species
GACGAACGUUGGCGGCGUGCUUAAUACAUGCAAGUCAACUGAAGCAGUGGUAGCAAUCUCGCUGUGGAGGUGGCGCACGGGUGAGUAACACGUAGGUAAUCUGCCUUCAGGUCUGGCAUAACUCCGGGAAACCGGGGCUAAUAGCAGAUGAUGCAGCGGCUCGACAUCGAGACAGUUGUUAAAGCUAUGGCGCCUGAAGAUGAGCCUGCGUCUGAUUAGCUAGUUGGCGGGGUAACGGCCCACCAAGGCAACGAUCAGUAGCUGGUCUGAGAGGAUGAUCAGCCACACUGGAACUGAGACACGGUCCAGACUCCUACGGGAGGCAGCAGUAAGGAAUAUUGCUCAAUCGGAGAAAUCCUGAAGCAGCAACGCCGCGUGAGGGACGAAGGGCUUUUGCUUGUAAACCUCUGUAGUGAGAGAAAAAAAUCCCAAUCUUUGGGACAUGAUGGUAUCUCAAAAGUAAGCCCCGGCUAACUACGUG